UCUGCCUGCCAAUGCAGGAGACACAGGAGACAUGUUUCCAUCCCUGGGUCAGGAAGAUCCCCUGGAGGAGGAAAUGGCAACCCAUUCCAGAAUUCUUGCCUGGAAAAUUCUGUGGACAGAGGAAACUGACGGUCUGCAGUCCAUGGGGCCACAAAGAGUCGGACACGACUGAGCAACUGAGCAUGAACGCACGCCUCUGAGAUCCCCCAUACUUAAUGCUGGUACAUCGUUACCCAAAGUACAGUGUCAUGUUUGAAUCCUGGCUUCUGAUGACUCUCUGAAGAGUGACUACAGGGCUUCACAGAUGACAACCAGGAAUGAAGCCUUACGCACAAUACACAGGAAAAGAUACGGCACCCCUGCCUUUCACACACAGCCACCAGCAGGAGGCAGCGAGAAUACGAGGUCUGUCCAUCCUAUGAGGAACUUCCCUGUAGCUUAUACUGUAAAGAAUCUGCUUGCAAUGCAGGAGACCUGGGUUCGAUCACCGGGUUGGGAAGAUCCUCCGGAGAAGGGAAUGGCAACCUACUCCAAUAUUCUUGCCUGGAGAAUCCCAUGAACAGAGGAGCCUGGUGGGCUACAGUCCAUGCACUCACAAAGAGGCGGACACAACUGAGCGACUAAGCGCAAGCCCAUCCUUUGAGCUGCCUGUGUGACCAGAGACUAACCUGGGAGGUGGCCACAUCAGCUGGAGAGAAGGGCCGGCUGGCUUGCAGAGUUGAGGUCUUAAAAGUCUCAGGACGAGGCAGGCAGAGCCACCCCCCGGGGACAAGCUGGCAUGAGGUGCAGACUGUAGGGCAGGUGGGUGACAUUCCUGGGUGCCAGCAGGGCGUGUGGAGCAAUGCCAGCCGCCAGGGACAUGCAGGGUGAAGGCCACCCGCCACCCUUUCCAGCCCCAUCUCCCCAGAUCGUUCUCUGCUCUAGCCAUUUUCAGUCCCGGGUGCCUGGAGAGCCCGGCUGCCGCCUUCCCUGCCUGGAGGGAUGCAGUAACCCAUGCCGAUGUACAUGCGGUGCUAAGGAGGUCACAGUCAUGACCUUUUAGUAUUGUCCUUGCCUGUCUGCUCAUCUGUCUGGACAGUAAGUCCCUGACAUAUGAACCUUCAAGUUGUGAACUUUCUUUUUUUUUUUCCAUUUAUUUUUAUCAGUUGGAGGCUAAUUACAAUAUUGUAGUGGUUUUUGCCAUACAUUGACAUGAAUCAGCCAUGGAUUUACAUGCGUUCCCCAUCCGAUCCCCCCUCCCGCCUCCCUCUCCAACCCAUCCCUAAGUUGUGAACUUUCAAAGACACCAACGUGUCCCCGUAUCCAGCUGUUGUACUGCACUAACCCCUGCUUUUUA